GGUGGGGUUCCCGAGCGGCCAAAGUGAACAGACUGUAAAUCUGCCUUAAUCGACUUCGAAGGAUCGAAUCCUUCCCCCACCACCA
rnacentral:tRNA from 1 species